UUUUCGAUUUGACAUAAGCGAUCUUUACAAUUUUUUUGUACAAUAAACUAAUAAGAUAAGGGUAUAUGUUUGUCAUAUUUAAGUAUAUGUAUGACACGUAAACUUGAUAAGAAGUCACCUGUUAGCAACACUUGACAUUUAAAUAUAUGUUAUUAAUUUCUUACGCAUAUAUAUAUAUAUAUAUAUAUAUAUAUUAUUUUUUAAAUUAAUGUUACUAAUGAGUUUGCAACAAAUCACGACACCACUUCCAUAUAAGCCUAUGGUAAAGAGAAAAUGAAAUUUUUUAUACAUAAGUAUUGUAUAAUAAUAUCAAAUUCAUGUCACAUACAAAAUCUUUUUCUGGUAAAUUUACUGAUGGUUAUGUGAAAGCUAUAAAUUAUUGAGAUUGUAGUAUUCUGUGGUAUUAUAGUUGAAUACUGAUUUAAUGCUGCUCAUUUUGUAGAUGCUAAUAAAACACUCUACAACGGUGUUCAUCUAAAUACAGGUAUUCUGAGUUGGAGAAACAAUUAGAAGAAAUACCACAUUUGCACUAGUCUUGAAUUCUAUUGUACAGUUGUACCACAGGAAAUGGACCUGUCUAUACAAUUUUUUUAAUGUGUUGUAAGUAAUUUUCAAAUGGAGUUAAUAAGAAGUCAUAUAAAUGAUGUGAUAAAUUGGUUGUCAAUCAUUUCACAAGCUAAUAGUAGAAUCUAAUUUACUCUAUUUUCAUUUUAUUAAAUUACUAUAACAAUUCAUUAUUUUGCAUCCUAAAUAUUUAAAAAUGUGUAGCCAAAUAAGAACAGCUUUAAAGUUUUAGUCUUCCACUAGGACAAUCAAGUUAUAAAACAUAGAUAGGUUUAUUUUGAUUGAUAAUUUACUGAAAGAAUUCAUUCAUAGCACUCAGUUUUUAGUGAAAAACAUUGAUAUUACGAGAACAUGAUGCAGCAAAAGAUUGCAUUUUCUCUGUAAAAAAAGAAGAGUGUUUAGUGAUCUCAAAUAAUUCACAUAGAAAUUUCAAUUCUGAUGCCAAAAAUGAAACUAAAUUUUCUAUAAAAACAAUUUGAUUGAUUUCAUAAUUAUUUGUCAUAUGAAAUAAUAACAAUGAAAUAUUGAAAUUAACAGAACAUCCAAUUCUGUUUAAAAAAAUUGGAUCUGCAAAUCUAAUUUUCAAGAAGAAAAUUUUCAAAUCAUCACCUUCAGUCCAUUUGUUAUCAAGUUUUGAAAAAUAUUCCUAUUUUCUCACAAUCAAUCCACAUAGUAUGGCGUAAAAAUGUCAUCUGAAGAAUUGGGAUAUCUUCGUGCUUUUGUAACAGUAUCAUGACUUAUUCUUUCUUAAUUGAAAAAAUAAACAAAUGAAUUAUUGUCAUUAUAAUAAUUAUAAUUGUACAAAAGAGUUGUAAUUGUAAUUUUAAAAACUGUAUCUAAAACUUGUUGCCCUUAUGAGGUAUAAUCAAAGUAUAACUCAUCGGUGUAGAAUUAGAGGAAAAUUAAUCUAUUUUUCUAUUUUUUUUUUAACUGAAUUAUUCAGUUUUAAAAAUAUUUCUACAAAAACAAUUCAAUAAAAUUGUUUAAAAAAUUA